GAAGCGUCUGGAAAGGCGCGUGAUACAGGGUGACAGCCCCGUACACAAAAAUGCACAUGCUGUGAGCUCGAUGAGUAGGGCGGGACACGUGGUAUCCUGUCUGAAUAUGGGGGGACCAUCCUCCAAGGCUAAAUACUCCUGACUGACCGAUAGUGAACCAGUACCGUGAGGGAAAGGCGAAAAGAACCCCGGCGAGGGGAGUGAAAAAGAACCUGAAACCGUGUACGUACAAGCAGUGGGAGCACGCUUAGGCGUGUGACUGCGUACCUUUUGUAUAAUGGGUCAGCGACUUAUAUUCUGUAGCAAGGUUAACCGAAUAGGGGAGCCGAAGGGAAACCGAGUCUUAACUGGGCGUUAAGUUGCAGGGUAUAGACCCGAAACCCGGUGAUCUAGCCAUGGGCAGGUUGAAGGUUGGGUAACACUAACUGGAGGACCGAACCGACUAAUGUUGAAAAAUUAGCGGAUGACUUGUGGCUGGGGGUGAAAGGCCAAUCAAACCGGGAGAUAGCUGGUUCUCCCCGAAAGCUAUUUAGGUAGCGCCUCGUGAAUUCAUCUCCGGGGGUAGAGCACUGUUUCGGCAAGGGGGUCAUCCCGACUUACCAACCCGAUGCAAACUGCGAAUACCGGAGAAUGUUAUCACGGGAGACACACGGCGGGUGCUAACGUCCGUCGUGAAGAGGGAAACAACCCAGACCGCCAGCUAAGGUCCCAAAGUCAUGGUUAAGUGGGAAACGAUGUGGGAAGGCCCAGACAGCCAGGAUGUUGGCUUAGAAGCAGCCAUCAUUUAAAGAAAGCGUAAUAGCUCACUGGUCGAGUCGGCCUGCGCGGAAGAUGUAACGGGGCUAAACCAUGCACCGAAGCUGCGGCAGCGACGCUUAUGCGUUGUUGGGUAGGGGAGCGUUCUGUAAGCCUGUGAAGGUGUACUGUGAGGUAUGCUGGAGGUAUCAGAAGUGCGAAUGCUGACAUAAGUAACGAUAAAGCGGGUGAAAAGCCCGCUCGCCGGAAGACCAAGGGUUCCUGUCCAACGUUAAUCGGGGCAGGGUGAGUCGACCCCUAAGGCGAGGCCGAAAGGCGUAGUCGAUGGGAAACAGGUUAAUAUUCCUGUACUUGGUGUUACUGCGAAGGGGGGACGGAGAAGGCUAUGUUGGCCGGGCGACGGUUGUCCCGGUUUAAGCGUGUAGGCUGGUUUUCCAGGCAAAUCCGGAAAAUCAAGGCUGAGGCGUGAUGACGAGGCACUACGGUGCUGAAGCAACAAAUGCCCUGCUUCCAGGAAAAGCCUCUAAGCAUCAGGUAACAUCAAAUCGUACCCCAAACCGACACAGGUGGUCAGGUAGAGAAUACCAAGGCGCUUGAGAGAACUCGGGUGAAGGAACUAGGCAAAAUGGUGCCGUAACUUCGGGAGAAGGCACGCUGAUAUGUAGGUGAAGUCCCUCGCGGAUGGAGCUGAAAUCAGUCGAAGAUACCAGCUGGCUGCAACUGUUUAUUAAAAACACAGCACUGUGCAAACACGAAAGUGGACGUAUACGGUGUGACGCCUGCCCGGUGC
rnacentral:rRNA from 1 species